UUAACUCAUAUUUGUGUGGAAUGGGAUCGUUUGCGUACGUUUGCCGCUAGGGGCGCUGUUCCAACUGCAUACAAAAUUGGCUG
rnacentral:pre_miRNA from 1 species